UAUCUCUGUAGAGUCUGCAUAUCAAUAAGCGGAGGAAAAGAAACUAACAAGGAUUCCCUUAGUAACGGCGAGUGAAGCGGGAAGAGCUCAAAUUUGAAAUCUUCAAGGUUCUACCUUGACGAAUUGUAGUUUAAAGAAGUGUUUUCUGUUAGGAGUUUGAGUAAAAGUUCCUUGGAAUAGGGACAUCAUAGAGGGUGAGAAUCCCGUAUUUGGUUAUUCAUUCUAGCUUUGUGAUACACUUUCAAAGAGUCGGAUUGUUUGGGAAUGCAGUCCAAAAUGGGUGGUAAAUUUCAUCUAAAGCUAAAUACUGGCGAGAGACCGAUAGCGAACAAGUACCGUGAGGGAAAGAUGAAAAGAACUUUGAAAAGAGAGUUAAACAGUACGUGAAAUUGUCAAAAGGGAAGCGUUUGACACCAGUGUUGUUUUUCCGAAAAUCAAUUACGAAUGGCUUGAUUCUGUGUUGUAUUGACCUUAUCAGCUUUCUUCACUUUUUUCGAGUCUUUCUUAAUGCACUUUUUCGGUUAACAAGUCAACAUCAAUUUCUUUUGUUGUAAAAGAGUAUUCGGAAGGUGGCUUUCUUUUCGGAGAAAGUGUUUAUAGCCCUAUACUUCUACAAUCGGAGAGAUUGAGGUCUGCAGCGUAGAUCCUUCGGGGUUAGAUACACUUGUGCUAAGUUGUAGCUUUUCAUAGACAACUUGUUGACUAUGUUUAGUCAUGCGGCUUACUCGCUUGUGCUAUUUUACCUACGCUUAGGAUGUUGAAGAUGUAGCACAUCAU
rnacentral:rRNA from 1 species